GACGAACGCUGGCGGCGUGCUUAACACAUGCAAGUCGAACGCGCCUGUCCUCUGGGUUUCUGGGGGGUGGGUGAGUGGCGAACGGGUGAGUAACACGUGAGUAACCUGCCCCCUUCUUCGGGAUAACGGUCUGAAAGGGCUGCUAAUACCGGGUAUUCACUGGUCUCCGCAUGGGGUCUGGUGGAAAGGUUUUUUUCUGGUGGGGGAUGGGCUCGCGGCCUAUCAGCUUGUUGGUGGGGUGAUGGCCCACCAAGGCUUUGACGGGUAGCCGGUCUGAGAGGGUGACCGGUCACAUUGGGACUGAGAUACGGCCCAGACUCCUACGGGAGGCAGCAGUGGGGAAUAUUGCACAAUGGGCGCAAGCCUGAUGCAGCGACGCCGCGUGAGGGAUGGAGGCCUUCGGGUUGUGAACCUCUUUCGCCCGUGGUCAAGCCGCGACGUGGGUCGUGGUGAGGGUAGUGGGUAAAGAAGCGCCGGCUAACUACGUG
rnacentral:rRNA from 1 species